rnacentral:rRNA from 1 species
UCAAGUAAUUAAGUGCAUGUGGUGGAUGCCUUGGCAGUCAGAGGCGAUGAAAGACGUGAUAGCCUGCGAAAAGCUCCGGGGAGGCGGCAAAUAUCCUUUGAUCCGGAGAUGUCUGAAUGGGGGAACCCACCUACUUUAAGGUAGGUAUUGCAACAUGAAUACAUAGUGUUGCAAGGCGAACGAGGGGAAGUGAAACAUCUCAGUACCCUUAGGAAAAGAAAUCAAUUGAGAUUCCCUCAGUAGCGGCGAGCGAACGGGGAUCAGCCCAUUAAGUUAUGUGUGUUUUAGUGGAACGCUCUGGGAAGUGCGAACGUAGAGGGUGAUAUUCCCGUACACGAAAGGGCACACAUAAUGAUGACGAGUAGGGCGAGGCACGUGAAACCUUGUCUGAAUAUGGGGGGACCAUCCUCCAAGGCUAAAUACUCCUGACUGACCGAUAGUGAACCAGUACCGUGAGGGAAAGGCGAAAAGAACCCCUGUGAGGGGAGUGAAAUAGAUCCUGAAACCGCAUGCAUACAAGCAGUGGGAGCACCUUCGUGGUGUGACUGCGUACCUUUUGUAUAAUGGGUCAGCGACUUAUAUUCAGUAGCGAGGUUAACCGUAUAGGGGAGCCGUAGAGAAAUCGAGUCUUAAUAGGGCGUUUAGUUGCUGGGUAUAGACCCGAAACCAGGCGAUCUAUCCAUGAGCAGGUUGAAGGUUGGGUAACACUAACUGGAGGACCGAACCCACUGUCGUUGAAAAGCCAGGGGAUGACUUGUGGAUAGGGGUGAAAGGCUAAUCAAGCCUGGUGAUAGCUGGUUCUCCCCGAAAGCUAUUUAGGUAGCGCCUCGGACGAAUACCAUAGGGGGUAGAGCACUGUUUCGGCUAGGGGGUCAUCCCGACUUACCAAACCGAUGCAAACUCCGAAUACCUAUGAGUACUAUCCGGGAGACAGACUGCGGGUGCUAACGUCCGUAGUCAAGAGGAAAACAAUCCAGACCGCCAGCUAAGGCCCCAAAAUCAUAGUUAAGUGGGAAACGAUGUGGGAAGGCAUAGACAGCUAGGAGGUUGGCUUAGAAGCAGCCACCCUUUAAAGAAAGCGUAAUAGCUCACUAGUCGAGUCGGCCUGCGCGGAAGAUGUAACGGGGCUAAAACUAUGUGCCGAAGCUGCGGAUGUAUACUUUGUAUACGUGGUAGGGGAGCGUUCUGUAAGCCGAUGAAGGUGUGUUGAGAAGCAUGCUGGAGGUAUCAGAAGUGCGAAUGCUGACGUGAGUAACGACAAAACGGGUGAAAAACCCGUUCGCCGAAAGACCAAGGGUUCCAGUCCAACGUUAAUCGGGGCUGGGUGAGUCGACCCCUAAGGCGAGGCCGAAAGGCGUAGUCGAUGGGAAAAUGGUUAAUAUUCCAUUACUUCUGUGUAAUGCGAUGAGAGGACGGAGAAGGCUAAAUCAGCCUGGCGUUGGUUGUCCAGGUGAAAGGAUGUAGGCAUGUAUCUUAGGCAAAUCCGGGGUACUCUAUGCUGAGAUCUGAUAGCAAGCUGUACUUGUACAGCGAAGUGGUUGAUGCCAUGCUUCCAGGAAAAGUCUCUAAGCUUCAGUUACACAGGAAUCGUACCCGAAACCGACACAGGUGGUCAGGUCGAGUAGACCAAGGCGCUUGAGAGAACUCUGCUGAAGGAACUAGGCAAAAUGGUACCGUAACUUCGGGAGAAGGUACGCUGUUGUUGGUGAUGGAACUCGCUUCCUGAGCUGACGACAGCCGCAGAAACCAGGCCGCUGCAACUGUUUAUUAAAAACAUAGCACUCUGCAAACACGAAAGUGGACGUAUAGGGUGUGAUGCCUGCCCGGUGCUGGAAGGUUAAUUGAUGGGGUUAGCGUAAGCGAAGCUCUUGAUCGAAGCCCCAGUAAACGGCGGCCGUAACUAUAACGGUCCUAAGGUAGCGAAAUUCCUUGUCGGGUAAGUUCCGACCUGCACGAAUGGCAUAAUGAUGGCGGCGCUGUCUCCAGCAGAGGCUCAGUGAAAUCGAAAUCGCUGUGAAGAUGCAGUGUACCCGCGGCUAGACGGAAAGACCCCGUGAACCUUUACUGCAGCUUGACACUGAACUUUGACCUUACUUGUGUAGGAUAGGUGGGAGGCUUUGAAGCUGGAACGCUAGUUCCAGUGGAGCCGUCCUUGAAAUACCACCCUGGUAAUGUUGAGGUUCUAACUCUGUCCCGUGAUCCGGGACGAGGACCGUGUCUGGUGGGUAGUUUGACUGGGGCGGUCUCCUCCUAAAGAGUAACGGAGGAGUACGAAGGUGCGCUCAGCGUGGUCGGAAAUCACGCGUAGAGUAUAAAGGCAAAAGCGCGCUUAACUGCGAGACCCACAAGUCGAGCAGGUACGAAAGUAGGUCUUAGUGAUCCGGUGGUUCUGUAUGGAAGGGCCAUCGCUCAACGGAUAAAAGGUACUCUGGGGAUAACAGGCUGAUACCGCCCAAGAGUUCAUAUCGACGGCGGUGUUUGGCACCUCGAUGUCGGCUCAUCUCAUCCUGGGGCUGAAGCAGGUCCCAAGGGUAUGGCUGUUCGCCAUUUAAAGAGGUACGCGAGCUGGGUUUAGAACGUCGUGAGACAGUUCGGUCCCUAUCUACCGUGGGCGCUGGAAAUUUGAGAGGAUCUGCUCCUAGUACGAGAGGACCAGAGUGGACGAACCUCUGGUGUACCGGUUGUGACGCCAGUCGCAUCGCCG